AUUAUAUCUUUAAAAUUUAUAACGUUCAAGAGAAGAGAGAGAGACAGAUACUAUACUUCAUAUUGCACUAUUAAAAUUUUUGCCGAUAUAUUUCCUUGUAUUCUAGUAAUAUUAUAUUGCGGUCGUAUUUUAAUGGAAUUCAGUGAUGAAUCUUCCUCCUUAUUAUUCUCUGUCGCAAAGUGCACAGGCAUUGCGCAAUAUCUCCUAACAUAUGUGACAGCGAGAAUCGUUUUGCAUAUGCGAAACAAUUUGUAACAGCAUUUCGCGGCGUUAAUUCCUUUCGUUAAUACAUGCUAUAUUGAGCUUUACAUCUCAUGGAAACCUUCAAAGAUAUUCGCACGUCACCUCGUUGAGCGUGUGAGGUUUACAAUGAGUGCAGAUAGCAAACGCGUAGCAAUUCGUGUUCGAUUGAAAACGUGCGCUUCGUAUUUCUGUUCGAAACUCGUCGUUUCAUCAAAGUCGAUCCGGACAGAAACUGGUAUAAUUUCGAUGAAUUCCAUUUUCCCCGUUAUACAUAGACACGUUGAAACAGUGCCUUAGAUCGCGUUUCCAUAGUAAUCUCUAAAGGGCGAUACGGGCUAAAGUGGAUAGGGGGUUACAGUGACCAGUGCCGAGCUGUCCGUUACUAAAUAAGGGUCUUGUUUAAGUAACGUUACGAAACAAGAUGGAAAAAAGUAAUUAACUAUUUUGACAUUUAUGUGACGUUUUUAUCAUAGAUGUUUUAUCCUUUCUAUUGAAUCUAAUAUAAUUUUAAUAUAUUUCAUUGUUAUUCAAUAUCGACGACCGUGCAAAUUUGAACGCUAGAAUUUUAUAUUGUCUUUGAGAUAUGACUCUUUCAUUUUAUCAAGUUUUAUGACAAAAUAUUCCCUUUCAGUUAGAAAGUACAUCCGAGACUGGUUUUUUUCUCUAUAUUUAUACCGAAAUAACUCUAAAAAAGAUAAAACUUUUUUAACACGAGAAGGGUGUCCACACCCUUAUCUCCUAUAGAGGUGAUUAUUUUAUGUUCUCAGUAUCUAGGUAAAAAUAAACUUAUUGAUUUUGAAGGUUUUGAAUGUCAUGAUUCCGUUUUUCUUCUUUUGGCUACUUUUUCGCUUCUUGUUACUUCAUUUUCGUUUCUCCUUGAGGUUUCUGGCAUCAUGCAUAUUGUAUACCUAACACUGGAAAGCUAUUACGUCGAGUUGAGCGCGGAGAGCAUGUUUUACAUUAGGGCGACCGAGGGCAGGCCUUUUUUUAAUGGUAUCGCAUUAAAAACUUUCAAUGAAUUUAUGUGAUUCUGAUAUUUUAUUUUUCAUUGCGUAUUUUUUUUUGAAAAAACUUUAGAAUUAAAGCUUUCAAAUUAGAAUUAAAGCUUUGUAUUGUUUUACGUCUCAUACUGUAACAACGUUGUUUUGCUCACAAGAGUAUUUAGUGUCACCUGUGAGAAAGCCGGUUUAAAACUGAAAUAUAACUUUGCCGCAAAUGGGACAUUUAACGGGGUAGCUUGCGCAAUAAUAAUUAUUUAAAUGGCUUUAAAUGCCCAAGGGAAAUCAUUAUUUUACAGUGCGUGAAUUCUGUUUGUAUCAAUAUUAGUGAUACGCGUCGGUUCCUGCGUGCAUUAUUGUUAUAUAUCUGAAAUAAAUCAUUACCUAUUCUUGCAGUAAAUUGAAUGCCAGUUAUUAAUCCACACUAUAACAAAUUGGCACGAAUUAAUAAACAUAUAUCUAUAAUUGUACAUAUGUAAUAAUUGUGGGGUGUCCUCUAUACAUGUAACUCUAGAUUAGAAUGGAAAUGAAGAUGCAAUAAUACAUUUUGUGAUAUAUAAUCUCAGAAAAAUGUAAGAGUGAAAAGCUCAAAAUGCAAUUUUCUUAUAGAAGUUAUUAUAUAUUUUUUAAGAUGAUACAAUUGAGUGAUAUUGCAUAACGCAUAAAAAAAUUGCAUACAGCGCAAUAAAACUAUUAAACUAUCGUAUUACAUAAGAGAUUUAUAAUCCUUUUAUAGGAUAGUACCUUUUUUAGAGUAUUCUGUUAUAAACAAAACUUGAAAUUGUAUCUAACUAUUUUCAGGUAAAUGUUUCUUGUUUCUAUUAGACAAUUGUAGUUUUCGUUCUUAUAUUAUUGCAGAAAAUAUUUUAUAAAUUAUUAUACAUGUUAUUACAAGUACGGGGUCAAGUUACAAAUGUUUCGAAGUAUUUCUUGAUUGAUCAAUUUGAUCAAUUCUUCGUUCUCGUUUCUCGUUUCUGCUUCGCCAAUCAAAUUUGAAGCGAAAUUGUAGCGCAAAUUGACCGUACCCUUAAUUUUAUAAUAUUUUAUUCUAAUUUAGUAUUCUGUAGAUUUGUAGGCGAUAUUUUGAUCUGAUGUAUAUAAUUUUGUAAAAAACAUAUUUCCUAUACUAGAUAUUGUACGUACAAACAGCAUUCUUGAUAUGAAAAGAUCGGACAAAGUUCAUGCAUAAAUGUUUAACCAUUUUAGUUCAUGUAUAUUUGAUGACUUUUUGUUGGCCGAUGCGACAUUUGAAAUUUGUUGACGGGAUUUUGACGACAUCUCAAUCAUGAUAAGAAAUUGUCGCAGGGUUAACAGUUAUAUUUAUCACGAGGAGCAACUUGGAUGUGAAAUGUAAAUUGUUGCUCGUACAAUCGUUUCCGAUCAGACCUUUCUUAUUUUUCUGACGUGACACGAAUGAGAUUCUUUUUGGUCGUCCUUGAGAAAAAAAACGAGGAUUUGAAACUUAUUUUCUUCUGUAUCAAAUUUUCCGUUGUAAGUGAUAGAUUUGGGAUGUGUUAUAUAUUAUAUAUAAAAAAACGAACGUAUUAAUUUUGGAAAAUUAGACGCAAAAUAUGAUGAAACAUAUAAUAUGAUAUAAGUAAAUAUUUAAUUUUGUGUUGUUCUAAGAAAAAAUGUCUAAAUGUCAUUAUAAUCUUUAUUUAAAUAUCUAUUGUAAAAAGUUUACGAACCUUAUUUGAACAAAUCAUAACAAUAUAGGUAAUAUUUAUAUAAUUACGAAUAUGCGCAAAAAAUAAAAACAAGAAAAAAAAA